GCUACACAGAGAAACCAUGUCUCGGAAAAAAAAAAAGAUUGUAUGUGCUUUUAAAGCCUGAAGAAGGGCUAGAGUGUUCAUGUUCAAACCUGGGUGCAUGAGGUAGGUACAGAAGAGUACACGUGGGUCAUAGGGUCACGGCUCACCAUGCAUGUGCACACGUGCUGCCAGUUUCUCAGUUUCCUCGUCUGUAAGAUGGAAACAUAGUUGCUUGUCAGGGAUAUUACAAGGCCUGAGGUACAAGUCUGGAGCCCUCCAAGGCUUUACUAAAUAGUGGCAAUUACUAAUAAUAACUGUGAGCCCUUUGUCUUCCAGAUUCUGCUCAUAACUGUAGGCAAGAACGUGGUGCCUCUUCACUCCAGAAUGGGGCUGGUGAAAGGCAUUUUUCUUCUCCAAAACUCAUUUCUCAAGUCAAACUAUAAUGAGACAGCAAGCUGUCACCAGCAGAAGAGACUAUGUAUGACCUCUAUUAACAAAGGUGAAUUAACUGAACGGGUAUUUGUAGUUUCUCAUUUCCCCCAAGCUUCCUGUGUAUGUUCUGAGAAGGCCUCUGAGUCCUGCCUUUGCUGUGUGCGUCUGUCAGCUGCAAGAUUCGCCUAUGUGGUGAAAUGCACAGAGCUCACACUGGGCGGAAGGGACGUGCGGAAGCUUAGAUGUCUCUGGGAUUCAGGAGAACUCUUAUCCCUGAGAUUAAAAAGCAGAGGCCUCAGAGGGAGCAGCCGCUAGCAUUUUCCACAGAGGCAUGGGUCCUCUACUUGGGGCUCAGCCACAUCUCGCAAUACUUGUGUGCUAGCUUCUGUUAUUCUUCAUGUACCAUCAGCUCUGUUAUGUUCUCCUAGGUUAGGUCCUUGACUGUCCACCCUCUUAACGUUCGCUUUCUGUCACAGAAUAAAUAAUCUGAAAUGAAGUCUGCAAAGUACUCUCAAUGAUAUUUUGUCUUUGUAAUAGUUAACAAAUAAAUCUGGGUUUUUUUCUAUAUCGCUGUGAUUUUGCUCUUGAGUAAAACCAUUAAUGAGAAAAGACUAAGAUAUUUAAAUUGUACAUGUAUGUGUGUUUUGCCUGCGUACAUCAUGUGCGUGCCUGGUGCCCAUGGAGGUCUGAAGAAGGUGUUGGAACCACAGGAACUGGAGUUCCAGUUGUUUAUGAACGGCCGUGAGGAUGCUGGAAACUGACGCUAGGUCCUCUGCAAGAGCAGCAAGUAUUCUUAACUGCUGAGCCCUCUCUCCAGCCCAGCACUUGCUGCUCUUUUAGAGGAGCUGGAUUCAGUUCCUCUGCUUCUGUGUUGGGCAGCUCACAGCUGCUAUAUGCUGCUGGCUUCCAGGGAUCUCAAUAGCCUCUUCUGGUUUCCUCAGCUACACAUGCAAAUGCAGACAGACGCCCAUACACAUAACAAUAGUAACGUUUUAAAGUCCUGCGGGGGCGAGGGGUGUGAAUUAGUUGGUGGAGCUGGUCUAGCUGCAUGAAGCCCUGGGUUUAGUCCCUACCACUUUAUAAGCUUGGCCUGGUUGCAUAUGCCUAUAAAUUCCAGUACUCAGGAGGUGGAGGCAGGAGGAUCAGAAAUUCGAGGUCAUCCUCAGCUAAGUAGCACAUGAGCACAGAAACAAAAUACUAGUACUGAGGGGAGCUUUGGUGGAGGAGACCGUCUCUGUGUGGAGCCCAUGCUGGCCUGGAGUUUACAGAAAUCUGCCUGGCUCUGCUCUCCUACUGCUGGACUUGAAGGCAUGUGCCACCAUGCUCAUUUUUACUUUUAAUUAUAUAUAUGCGUGUGGGUCUGUGCACAUGAGUGCAGGUGCCUACGGGAUCACAGAGGGUCCAGAUCCCCUGGGCCUGGGCUAUUUGAUGUUUUGGGGAACUGAACUUGGGUCCUCUUAAUACUCUUAGCGGUUUAACACUGAGCCCCAUCUGCCUUAUUUCUUGCUAUGAGGUUAACUCACUGAACCUGGACUGGCUGACCAGCAAGCUCCAGGCAUCUUCUGUCUUCCAGGCCCUCCGUUGACACUACUCCUCUCAACAUUGAAAGUAUAGACACUGCCCCACUAUUGCUUGAGUGGUAGGAGCCAAACUCAGGUCCUUACAUUUGCAAGGAAGGCAAUCUAUAAACUAAACCAGUGCCCCAGCUCAAUUUUAGUUCCAUUUGUUGGGAUGUGUAUGCUUCUAGCAAGUCUUUCUUUUUUUUUUUUUAAAGAUUUAUUUAAAGAUUUUAUGUGAGUCCACUGUAGCUGUACAGAUGGUUGUGAGCCUUCAUGUGGUUGUUGGGGAUUGAAUUUUUAGGACCUCUGCUUGCUCCAGUCUACUCCACUCGCUCAGUCCCUGCUUGCUCCAGCCAAGUACUUACUAUGCAUAGGUACACUGUAGCUGACUUCUAACGCACCAGAAGAGGGCGUCAGAUCUCAUUCCGGGAGGUUGUGAGCCACCAUGUGAUUGAACUCAGGACCUAUGGAAGAUCAGCCAGUGCUCUUACACGCUGAGCCAUCUCACUAGCCCCUAGCAAGUCUUUCAUAAGGGGAGUCUUAAAACAUAAAGACCUUGCUGAUGCUGCCUGGAUUGGGAGUAGUUUUUAAGUUCAUCAGCCCUCACUAUAGAGUUUCCAUAGGCACCUGGGUAUUCAUAAGGCUGAAUUUCGUAGUUCUAGACUUAGGCCCUUUUUUGUUAUUGUUUUUGAGACAUUAUGUAUCUCUGACUGGUCUAGAACUCACAGAGAUCUACCUGCCUUGGUCUCCCAAGUCUUGGGAUUAAAGGUGUGUACCUGGACUUUCUGUGGCCUUUGAAAGAAGGUUCUAUGCACAAUUUGGAGCUGUCAGCCUGAUUAGCUGCUAGGUCCUGCUGACAGCCUCAGGCCCGUGGUUGUUGUAGCAGUUUUUCAUUGAGUUUCUCAUCUUGCAGAAUAAGUACC
rnacentral:lncRNA from 1 species